rnacentral:rRNA from 1 species
AGUGAACGCUGGCGGUAGGCCUAACACAUGCAAGUCGAACGGCAGCACAGUAAGAGCUUGCUCUUACGGGUGGCGAGUGGCGGACGGGUGAGGAAUACAUCGGAAUCUACUUUUUCGUGGGGGGUAACGUAGGGAAACUUACGCUAAUACCGCAUACGACCUACGGGUGAAAGCAGGGGAUCUUCGGACCUUGCGUGAUUGAAUGAGCCGAUGUCGGAUUAGCUAGUUGGCGGGGUAAAGGCCCACCAAGGCGACGAUCCGUAGCUGGUCUGAGAGGAUGAUCAGCCACACUGGAACUGAGACACGGUCCAGACUCCUACGGGAGGCAGCAGUGGGGAAUAUUGGACAAUGGGCGCAAGCCUGAUCCAGCCAUACCGCGUGGGUGAAGAAGGCCUUCGGGUUGUAAAGCCCUUUUGUUGGGAAAGAAAAGCAGCAGGUUAAUACCCCGCUGUUCUGACGGUACCCAAAGAAUAAGCACCGGCUAACUUCGUG